rnacentral:rRNA from 1 species
UCCUUUGGUUUAUAUAAAAGGUCAGACCUGCCCUAUGAUUUAUUAAAUGGCCGCGGUAUCCUGACCGUGCAAAGGUAGCAUAAUAGAUUGUUUUUUAAUUGAGAACUGGAAUGAAUGGUCAUACGAGAAAUUAGCUUUCUUUAUUUUAUUAUAAUGAAAUUUAUUUUUUUGUGAAAAAGCAAAGAUGUAUUUAUUAGACGAUAAGACCCUAUAAAACUUCAUUGAUUUGUAAAAUUAAGUUGUUUAGUUUUUAAUUUAAAGCUUUUUUUAAUAAAUUAAUUUUGUUGGGGAGACAAGUAAAUAUAUUUAACUUUAUUUUUUUUAUUCAUUAAUUUAUGUAUUUUUUGAUCCCAUUUUUAGAUUAAAAAAAUAAUUUAUUUUAGG